AAUUCAAGAAAGAUGAUAAUGUUGGUCGAAGUACCAUAUCUUUGUAGAAGAGCUGGAACAGGAAGAGAUUCCUGUUGAGGUGGAGCAUAGUGAUGUUGAAUUGCAUAACCUAAAUGAAGUCAGAGAAGAUGCACAAGUUGCUGAAGAAGAUGAGGAGACUGAAAAUGACUACCUGUUGGCAAAAGAUAGAUCGAGAAGAGUCAUCAAGCCACCUCAGAGACUUGGUUAUGUAGAUCUCAUAGCUUAUGCCUUACU
rnacentral:lncRNA from 1 species